UACGGGGGGGGCAAGCGUUGUUCGGAAUUACUGGGCGUAAAGGGCUCGUAGGCGGCCAACUAAGUCGGAUGUGAAAUCCCCAGGCUUAACCUGGGAACUGCAUCCGAUACUGGAUGGCUUGAAUUCGGGAGAGGGAUGCAGAAUUCCAGGUGUAGCGGUGAAAUGCGUAGAUAUCUGGAGGAACACCGGUGGCGAAGGCGGCCUUCUGGGCCUGUUCUGACGCUGAGGAGCGAAAGCGUGGGGAGCAAACAGG
rnacentral:rRNA from 1 species